CCUUCACUCAGCCACUCUGGAGCCAUAAAAACAUAGACAUCCAGUCCCCCAGUAACGAAUCAUAGCUGAUUUAUUUUCGACUACACACGGCUUUUGUGCACAGACGCCUACAUGUAGUCUCCAAUACAAUAACACAGGGGUGUCAAUCCCAAGAUCCUCUGUGAGAGAUAAUUGCGUGCAAAAACCCUAUAAUUCAAUUUUACCACAUGACAGGAGGCUUCGUAUUUCGCAUAUCUCUCGUUACUAACUCCAUACAGCAGUAAAGAAACACAUAGAAAAAAGAACCAAUCACAGGAGAGCAGGAUGUACAUAAGGCAAUGUGACCUCAUCAUUUCCUCUUUCUUUAUUGCUCCAUCAAGCAGACAGGAC